rnacentral:rRNA from 1 species
AGUGAACGCUGGCGGUAGGCCUAACACGUGCAAGUCGAACGGCAGCACAGGAGAGCUUGCUCUCUGGGUGGCGAGUGGCGGACGGGUGAGGAAUACAUCGGAAUCUACUCUGUCGUGGGGGAUAACGUAGGGAAACUUACGCUAAUACCGCAUACGACCUACGGGUGAAAGCAGGGGAUCUUCGGACCUUGCGCGAUUGAAUGAGCCGAUGUCGGAUUAGCUAGUUGGCGGGGUAAAGGCCCACCAAGGCGACGAUCCGUAGCUGGUCUGAGAGGAUGAUCAGCCACACUGGAACUGAGACACGGUCCAGACUCCUACGGGAGGAAGAAGUGGGGAAUAUUGGACAAUGGGCGCAAGCCUGAUCCAGCCAUACCGCGUGGGUGAAGAAGGCCUUCGGGUUGUAAAGCCCUUUUGUUGGGAAAGAAAUCCAGCUGGCUAAUACCCGGUUGGGAUGACGGUACCCAAAGAAUAAGCACCGGCUAACUUCGUGCCAGCCGCCGCCGUAA